AUUGAACGCUGGCGGCAUGCCUUACACAUGCAAGUCGAACGGCAGCACGGGCUUCGGUCUGGUGGCGAGUGGCGAACGGGUGAGUAAUGUAUCGGAACGUACCCUUCAGUGGGGGAUAACUAUCCGAAAGGAUAGCUAAUACCGCAUAUUCUCUGAGGAGGAAAGCGGGGGAUCGCAAGACCUCGCGCUGAUGGAGCGGCCGAUAUCAGAUUAGCUAGUUGGUGGGGUAAAGGCCUACCAAGGCGACGAUCUGUAGCGGGUCUGAGAGGAUGAUCCGCCACACUGGGACUGAGUCGCGGCCCAGACUCCUACGGGAGUCAGCAGUGGGGAAUUUUGGACAAUGGGGGCAACCCUGAUCCAGCCAUGCCGCGUGAGUGAAGAAGGCCUUCGGGUUGUAAAGCUCUUUCGGCCGGGAAGAAAUCGCGUGAGUUAAUACCUUGCGUGGAUGACGGUACCGGAAUAAGAAGCACCGGCUAACUACGUGCCAGCAGCCGCGGUAAUAC
rnacentral:rRNA from 1 species